rnacentral:misc_RNA from 1 species
GAUCUCGGACCAGGCUUCAUUCCCCUCAAGUAGAGCUCCCGGCUCCAUCGAUCGAUCCCUCUCGUUCUUGCCUCUCGCGCGCAUUCAUGGUGAGUUUUCUUGGGCAUCAUCGAUGCGGCGACUCGAUCUUUCUGUCCUCCUGGCUCGUUUGACUAUGGCUCGGGCCUAGAUUAUGCCCCCGCGCGCAGACAGAAUCAUGCAUGAAUCAUGAUUAGGAUAUGAUUAUCUCGGUGAGUGUUUCCUGUGCUGUGUUGGGUUUCGUGCGGUCAACACAUGCAGCAGAUUGGUGUAAUGAUGUGA